UACAGAGGGGGCUAGCGUUGCUCGGAAUCACUGGGCGUAAAGCGCACGUAGGCGGACUCUUAAGUCGGUGGUGAAAUCCUGGAGCUCAACUCCAGAACUGCCUUUGAUACUGAAGAUCUUGAGUUCGGGAGAGGUGAGUGGAACUGCGAGUGUAGAGGUGAAAUUCGUAGAUAUUCGCAAGAACACCAGUGGCGAAGGCGGCUCACUGGCCCGAUACUGACGCUGAGGCACGAAAGCGUGGGGAGCAAACAGG
rnacentral:rRNA from 1 species